GUCGGGGUUUCGUACGUAGCAGAG
rnacentral:piRNA from 6 species